UACAGAGGGGGCAAGCGUUGUUCGGAAUUACUGGGCGUAAAGAGCGCGUAGGCGGCCGUGUAAGUCCGACGUGAAAUCUGGAGGCUCAACCUCCAGCGGUCGUUGGAAACUACCCGGCUAGAGUCCGGAAGAGGAGAGUGGAAUUCCUGGUGUAGCGGUGAAAUGCGCAGAUAUCAGGAAGAACACCGAUGGCGAAAGCAGCUCUCUGGGACGGUACUGACGCUGAGGCGCGAAAGCGUGGGGAGCGAACAGG
rnacentral:rRNA from 1 species